rnacentral:rRNA from 1 species
GACGAACCGUGCGAACGUUAUUCGGAAUCACUGGGCUUAAAGGGCGCGUAGGCGGGCCGCGUAGUCAGGGGUGAAAUCCUCCAGCUUAACUGGAGAAGUGCCUCUGAUACUGGCGGCCUCGAGGGGUGCAGGGGCGUGCGGAACUUAGGGUGGAGCGGUGAAAUGCGUAGAUAUCCUAAGGAACACCGGUGGCGAAGGCGGCACGCUGGACAGCUUCUGACGCUGAGGCGCGAAAGCGUGGGGAGCGAACAGG